UAAAGUUGGCAAAGAGACGUGGCUGCCUCGGAGCCAUACAUGCUUUAACCGCCUGGAUUUGCCUCCGUACAAGAGCUACGAACAGCUGAAGGAGAAGCUGCUUUACGCCAUCGAGGAGACGGAAGGAUUUGGCCAGGAGUGAUGGAGCCUCGGUGCUCUCCCAGCGACUCCGGAGGUGCCUGAGGCGGGGAGGGCCCCGAGUGCUGCCUGCCGCCGGGUGUCGCCUCGCGGGAUGGUGUGCGGGCGGCUGCGGACUCUGCUCUUGUUCCUGUGCAAGACCUGCACUAACAGCCCUGGGGGAAACGGGUCCACGUGUGCCUCCCCAAAUUAAUCAGAGGUGUGAUGGGGAGGUGGGUGCCAAAGCCUGUGUCCGCUCAGCCUGGGUGUGCUGCGUGCGCCUGGGCUCCCCGUCCCCCCUCACCCUGCUGGGAGUCCUGGGGGGCGCUGGGGUGGCUCGGGAAUGACACCAGGGUCUGAGCUCCUGCCUGGUGGCGUGGUGGGGGCUGCGCUCCCCUGUCCCAUGGCUGGUCAGUGUUAAAGGGGCUCCUCUGUGCCUGCAGAGGGGUGAGAAACCUCGCACUGAAGAGGUGUGCGCACCUGGAAACAGGCACGAACAACUUCAACUGUUGAGCUGGAGCCAAACCCCCUCAUUUCUCUGCAGUUUUUCUCUCUGCUCCCUGUAGCUUCACUGAACUCCUUAGCUUGUGGCCGCAGGUCCCUGUGAGGGGACCCUGAUGGACCCCACAGACCCCCCAUGGGGAAAGGCACUUCUGCUGGAGCAGCAGCUUUGUCCAGGGGCUCUGACUUCUGGAGCCUGGCUGGGGCUUUUCCUAGAUGCAGUUAAAGUGAGACCUGGUUUAGGUAUGGGCUAUUCCCACCCCCCAGUUUUUUCUGCCUUUCUGUGGCAUUUUAGUAGAUGCAGGUGAGGAUGGGAAAUGGCUCUCGAACUGACUCUCAGGUGGUUGUGAAGACGUACGAGUUUGGGCCCUAUCCUGCACCCAGCAAGGGUAACAGGGAGCCUGCAGCGGGUGCUGCUGGGGCCAGGGCACAGCACGGGCCGGGGCUGCCCCCAGACUGGCCCUGUCUGCUGCUCGGCUUUAUUCACAAGCGUGAGGCCUCCGUGCUGUUGUAUUUAAUCCUGAAGUGGAGUGCUGCUCCCAGCUGGCGCUCUGCAGCGGGCACGGGGCUCGGUGGGGACAGCACGGCCACCCCCAGCACUCGCUUGGCUCGAGGGUCGGCCCAGAUGUGCUGCGUUCCCUUUGCCACGGCCAGGCCGGUGUCAGAAGCUGCCGGAGCUGCGGUGAGGGCAGGACCAGGCCCCUGCCCUUGGUCCUGCUGUGUCCCCCGGGGCUCCUGGCAGCAGGGUCCCGGCUCUGGCACCGCAGGCAUGGCCCCUGCGAGCGUUGGUGUGUAAAUCUGUACAUAAAUGAAGUCUGUGGAUACAAACCUCUGCAAUAGCUUUUGACUGGUAACUGGAUAGUUUUGUACUGCACCAUCCUGCCUCAGUGAUGCCGAUUUCUUGUGCAAUAAACGACAAGCAGCUGCCGA